rnacentral:pre_miRNA from 1 species
AAAAGAAAGUUGUAUUCUGCCCGGUAGUCCGUUUGUAAGGUCUUGGAACGGACUGCCGCAGAAUAGCUUUCUUG